rnacentral:rRNA from 1 species
CCAGCUCCAAUAGCGUAUAUUUAAGUUGUUGCAGUUAAAAAGCUCGUAGUUGGAUUUCGGGAGUGAGACGUCGGUCGCCCGCUCGCGGUCGAUACUGGCGCUCUUCCUUAUCUGCCUCGGCGCCCGCCUGGCCUUCGUUGGUCGGGCGGCGUCCGCGGCGUUGUUACCUUGAAUAAAUUAUGGUGUUCAAAGCAGGCAACCGCUGUGAGUACAUUAGCAUGGAAUAACGGAAUAGGACUCCGGUCCCGUUCUCGUUGGUCUCCGCACCGGAGUAAUGAUUAACAGGGACGGUCGGGGGCAUUCGUACUCCGAUGUUAGAGGUGAAAUUCUUGGAUCAUCGGAAGACGAACUUCUGCGAAAGCAUUUGCCAAGGAUGUUUUCA